AGAGAAAGACAUAUGACCCUAAAAUAACCUCAUUCUGCACGUGGUCCAAGAGGCGCACAUGAAAAAGCUGUGGAAGCAAACCAGAUGAAUGACCAUUCACUCCUGGUGAACAAAUGGAGUCCAGCAUUUCUACCCCAUGGAACAGUUAUGGUUGAAAUGACAAUAAAAAGUGACGACUUGAGGUGGUUGGAAUAUUACUUGGGGCUGGAAUCGUCCCCUGCAUUGUUUCGAUGGCAGUGAGAUAUCCCAGAUUGAUUUCUGCUGAUCCCAAUAUUCUAUAUUGGACUGUAGGUUCUUUUGAAGGCCCUGACCUGGAGUUCCACGCUGAAUUCGGUUCUUUGUGGGAAUGGGACCUGUUCGCAGGGUUUCAUGACUGGCUGUUAUCCGACAUGCCAAGGGCGCGGCCUAAGAGUUCAGCUCUCCUUUGGAGACCUAGGAUCUUGGGGCUUUGGAGACGGGCGGAUCGAAGGUCGGUGUCCCAACAUACUGGUGUGUCGUGGGAGCCGGAGGAUCUUUGACUGUGUGCCCAGAGACCUGAGAUCUUUGGUCACAGAGCUCGGAAAAAGCGAUGCAAUGGACUUUUAACAUUGUAAACCGCCGCCCAGGGAGGAGACUCUGGAGUUGGUGUGAGAGAGAAGAGACAUGGUGGGUGCACUGGAAUCCAUGCUGGAUCGGGGGCCAGCCCUCCCAUCGAUGCUGUGCUCCAGUGUUCACAUCCUGGAAGACAAACUGGAUUGCCUUUGCUUACAACUGAACCAGCAUGAGAUGAGGAACUACUGCAUACUUGUUCUUGCAUAAGUGGGUCUAGGGCAACAUCCCAUGCACCACCAAACUUCAGGCCAUGCCAUGUAUUAUUUUCUGUGACUGCCUGUGCUAUCAUAACUAUAUGUGCUAUGUGCUGUAUGUAACUUAUGAACUCUGUUUUUCAUCUUGGCCCUGGGGACUGCUGUUUCAGUUAGCUGUAUAGGUGUGUAUGGUUGGACGUCAAUUAGAUUUGAGCUUGAGCUUGAUUACCAAUGGAAUAAUUGGCAGAUUCUUUGCAAUCUGAAGUAAUGCAGUGAUCAUAACUUCCAGCUCUGCAUCUGGUGAUGAGUGUUCAGUUUGAAACAUCACCUCUGUUUUCCUUUCCAGAAAUGCUAAAUUAUCUGCUGUUUCCACCAUUUGCUGUAUUCAUUAACCCUGAACAAAAAGGUACAGCAACACCUCCACUUCCUAAGAAGAUUGAGCAAGCAAGGCUCCCACCUCCCCAUCUUAACUGUGUUUUAUAGGAGAACCAUUGAGAGCAUCCUGACAAGUUGCAUCUCCAUCUGGUAUGGGAGCAGUCGAGCACUGGAUCUGAAAUCCCUAUAAAGGACUGUGACAACAGAGGAGAGGAUCAUAGGGGUCUCCCUACCAUCCAUCAGGGACAUUUAUCAGGAGCGCUGCAUAUGCAGGGCACUUAGUAUUAUUAAGGAUCCCAGCCAUCCAUCCAGCAACCUCUUUGAUGUUUUACCAUCAGGCUGGAGACUAUGAUGCAUAAAAACAAGAAUGGUCAGAAUGAGAACCAGUUUCUUCCCCCUAGUCAUUAGGCUUCUCAAUUCCCACCCGCAUCGUAUUUGAAGUGUCAUUAGUUCACCUGUCUGUACCUUACAAUAUUUAAUAUUAAUGCACUUCAGUUUGUUAUUUAUGUGUGAUUCAUCUGUAGAUUUUAUCCUUGCCUUCAUAAGUUAUUGUGUGUUACGUAGGGUAUGUGUUUUAUGCCCUGGACUGAAGAAACUUUGUCUUGUUUCUAUAUAUAUUAUAUAUG